rfam:Hordeum vulgare subsp. vulgare, WGS project CAJW01000000 data, contig: morex_contig_97967
UCCACAUGCCCUCCGUCCCAAAAUUCUUGUCUUAGUUUUAUCUACAAAUGGAUGUAUCUAAAUACUAAUACAUGACUAGAUACAUUCAUAUCUAGACAAAUCAAAGACAAGAAUUUUGGGACGGAGGGAGUACAUU